CCGCCGGCCGGAUACACGUGCACGUGACAUUAGAAUUAUGGAUAUUCUGUUAAUAUCAGAAAGAAACCAGUUGAGCGACAUGUACCGCCUGCAAAAGUCAGGCACAGCUAAGUUAGAAAAGAAUUCAUGGUGAGAAAAAAAGUUGCAGCUUGUAGGUAGCAUUUUUAACUCAAACACUGUUGAAAGGUAGUCAAUACAUUUGAAGCAGAAGUCAUGAAGCUGAAGCUUUGUGAGGGAAUUGAUCCUACAUGCUAAACACGAAAUUGUAGAAUUAAUCAUCUUCAACAAUCUGAUGAUUGAUUGUCAUCAAGGUCUAUCACUAGAUCACCAGGAUGUAAAUAGCUAGAAUAUAGGAACCAACUCUGCUGGCAUCAAUUCAGUUGCUGUGGAGUCAAUGAAGGAGACUUCAAGAACUAGUAGAAGGUUAAAAGGUUUGUUUAUUCAUUUUCAGACUUCUUGGGUGUUUUUUUGAUAAUGACGUAUUUUGUAAUUUCAGUAAAGGAAGGCUUGUUAAAUCAAGAUGGCCAGUUGGUUGGCUUUGUAGACUUUGGAGAUCGCACAGUAGAUACAAAAAUUGCAACACAUAUUUGUAUUAAGUAGUACAAUAAUAUUUCUGUAUUAUUUUCAUUUCUAACAUUUUUUAUUAGUGUUUUAUGUGCGAUCAGUGAAGGAAGAAAUCUCCAUGCCUCCAUCAUUGUGGCCAAGUACUGUCACCACAGAACUUCAAUUGAUGUCUACUUUUUGGGAAACGGUUGGCAGAUGUGAGACUAACCGUGCAUGUUAAUGCAAAUAUGCAAUUGUUGCUGAUGGUGGUCCGACGAAUCAAACAAUAUUUUCAAUUUUACAUGAAGGGUCAUACACUAUGUGUGAAGGUGACGUUACUGCUCCAAACCCAUACUAUUUAUAUUUGUACCGAUCCUAUAAAAACUAAUUCUAAUUCUAGACUUGCCUGUUAAAAGUUAACAGGAUUACUUGAGUACGUGGCAUAUCUCUUACUUUAAGGAUUCUCAUCUAAGUAAUUCUUAGCGGUUACUAUGUGAAGUGUUCAUAAAGAACGAAAAAGACAGACGUGGGGGUUCUUUCCUACACAAUCCCUUCUGUUGUUUACACUGUUUUCCUAUACUUAAUUUUUUUAUGUUGCAUUAUGUUUUAAAUCAGGUUUCUUAAGUAAAAAUUUCAAAACAUAAAAUGAA